GACGAACCGUGCGAACGUUAUUCGGAAUCACUGGGCUUAAAGCGCGUGUAGGCGGAUGGGAACGUCGGCUUCUGAAAGCCCCCGGCUCAACCGGGGAAGUGGGGCCGAAACGACCCGUCUCGAGGGACGUAGGGGGAUCUGGAACUUCCGGUGGAGCGGUGAAAUGCGUUGAGAUCGGAAGGAACGCCCGUGGCGAAAGCGACUUCCUGGACCAAUACUGACGCUCAUGUGCGAAAGCGUGGGGAGCAAACAGG
rnacentral:rRNA from 1 species